UAACACAUGCAAGUCGAACGAAGCACUUUAACCUGAUUCUUCGGAUGAAGGUUUUUGUGACUGAGUGGCGGACGGGUGAGUAACGCGUGGGUAACCUGCCUCAUACAGGGGGAUAACAGUUAGAAAUGACUGCUAAUACCGCAUAAGACCACGGAGCCGCAUGGCUCAGUGGGAAAAACCCCGGUGGUAUGAGAUGGACCCGCGUCUGAUUAGGUAGUUGGUGGGGUAACGGCCUACCAAGCCAACGAUCAGUAGCCGACCUGAGAGGGUGACCGGCCACAUUGGGACUGAGACACGGCCCAAACUCCUACGGGAGGCAGCAGUGGGGAAUAUUGCACAAUGGGGGAAACCCUGAUGCAGCGACGCCGCGUGAGCGAAGAAGUAUUUCGGUAUGUAAAGCUCUAUCAGCAGGGAAGAAAAUGACGGUACCUGACUAAGAAGCACCGGCUAAAUACGUGCCAGCAGCCGCGGUAAUACGUAUGGUGCAAGCGUUAUCCGGAUUUACUGGGUGUAAAGGGAGCGUAGACGGCUGUGUAAGUCUGAAGUGAAAGCCCGGGGCUCAACCCCGGGACUGCUUUGGAAACUAUGCAGCUAGAGUGUCGGAGAGGUAAGUGGAAUUCCCAGUGUAGCGGUGAAAUGCGUAGAUAUUGGGAGGAACACCAGUGGCGAAGGCGGCCUA
rnacentral:rRNA from 1 species